AUUUUAAUAGCUUAUUUAGAGCAUAAUAUUGAAGAUAUUAAGGUAAUAGUUUUAUUUUAAAAUAUU
rnacentral:tRNA from 1 species